CGUUCUGUAAACUAUGAUUACUAGAUAGUUUUUUAAAAAAUAUAUCUAAGCGAAAGCGUUAAGUAAUCCACCUGGGGAGUACGCUCGCAAGAGUGAAACUAAAAGGAAUUGACGGGAGUCCGCACAAGCGGUGGAGUAUGUGGUUUAAUUCGAUAGUACGCGAGGAACCUUACCUGGGUUAGAAUAUGUUUUGAUCAUUUAAGAAAUUAAAUUUCCUUCGGGCAAAACAUAAGGUGC
rnacentral:rRNA from 1 species